AGAGAUGCACGCCAAUUUAACAAUUCAACCUUUAGAGAUGCACGCCAAUUUAACAAUUCAACCUUUAGAGAUGCACGCCAAUUUAACAAUUCAACCUUUAGAGAUGCACGCCAAUUUAACAAUUCAACCUUUAGAGAUGCACGCCAAUUUAACAAUUCAACCUUUAGAGAUGCACGCCAAUUUAACAAUUCAACCUUUAGAGAUGCACGCCAAUUUAACAAUUCAACCUUUAGAGAUGCACGCCAAUUUAACAAUUCAACCUUUAGAGAUGCACGCCAAUUUAACAAUUCAACCUUUAGAGAUGCACGCCAAUUUAAUAAUUCAACCUUUAUAGAUGCACGCCAAUUUAGCAAUUCAACCUUUAGAGAUAAACGCCAAUUUAACAAUUCAACCUUUAGAGAUGCACGCCAAUUUAAUAAUUCAACCUUUAGAGAUGUACGCCAAUUUAAUAAUUCAACCUUUAGAGAUGCACGCCAAUUUAAUAAUUCAACCUUUAUAGAUGCACGCCAAUUUAACAUUCAUCCUUUAGAGAUAGACGCCAAUUUAACAAUUCAACCUUAAGCGAGCCAGCUGUGACUUUUGCACACAAUUUGUCCCUUUAAACAUAAAUCUUUGCCUUUUUUAUAAAAACAUUUUUCUCCGUUAAUCCGGUUUAAAUGUAAAAUUAUACAAACAGAAAUCCGUAACUUUAAACAUUGUUAAACAGUUUAGACCAAACCAUUAAUUAAAUUCAAAUUUGAGAAACCAAACGGAUUUCACCUUGGUUAUAUUGGAGACAGGGUGGAUGGAUAUAUUUCGAAAGUUUUUGUGGGGGAGUUAACCUAUUUUAAUUAUCAUGUUUAUUGUAGAAAUUACUACAGCGUGCUUCAUGAAAGAGAACUACCGGUGGAAUGCAAAGCAUCAAUGACAGGAUGCGAGAUGGAUCAAUCCUCAAAUACGUACAGGAUACAGGUGAUUUUGAGUUCUAAGUCUGAAGAUAUAGGAAUACAUUUCCUAAUUGUAAAGAUGGAACAAGGAACACCAAAAAUAUGUUCUAUCCGAUAGAAAAUCUAACAUUAUUAAAUUUUUAGUACUUGCACUUUAAUUGUGAAAUAACUUAUCAAUAAUAAACGUCUGUAAUAAAUAGU